rnacentral:tRNA from 1 species
ACCGAAGUAGCUCAGUUGGGAGAGCGUUAGACAGAUAGUUCGGAAAGUCCUGGUUCGAUCCCGGGUUCCGGCA